rnacentral:rRNA from 1 species
AUGAAUCCACCUCGCGUCCCUCAGCUCCAGCUCCAUCUCCACGCCGACAACAAGCUCGCCGCCGCCGUCCAGCUUCAGCUCCGGCGUCAUGGACUCCUGGUCGGACGGUUUGUUCUCGACAUCGACAUCCCGAGCAAGAAAGUGAAGGUGGUGGGCGACGUGACGCCGCUGGGCGUGCUCACCAGCGUCUCCAAGGUGAAGCCCACGCAGUACUGUCCGUCGCAGCCGUGCCCCCCGCGCGCCUCCGCUUCCUUCUGA